rnacentral:rRNA from 1 species
GCUUGGCCCUUAACAUAGGCAGCAAUCAUACAAUGCUGCCCGCCCGAGAACUACAAGUGAAAAACUCAAAACUCUAAGGACUUGGCGGUGCUCCAUACCGACCUAGAGGAGCCUGUCCUAUAAUCGAUACUCCACGUUAAACCUUACCAUUUUUUGCAUCCUCAGCCUAUAUACCGCCGUCGUCAGCCUACCUUAUGAAAGAAACAAAGUAAGCAAAAGAGCCAACAACUAACACGUCAGGUCAAGGUGUAGCACAUAAAAUGGUAGAGAUGGGCUACAUUUUCUACUCUAGAAAACUACAGACCAUACAGUGAAACCUGUACAAGAAGGUGGAUUUAGCUGUAAGACGGACAAGAAAGUUUGUCUUAACCCCGCUCUGGAGCGCGC